AGCCCCACCACCAAAGCAUUCUCUGGUGUUGAAGGCCCUGCAAAGCAGCAUCGCGGUGGCGGAGCGUCGUUUGCGACGCCCAACACACAAAACAAGCGGUGAAUGCUUUGGGGUGGGGUGACUGCGUACCUUUUGUAUAAUGGGUCAGCGACUUAUAUUCUGUAGCAAGGUUAACCGUAUAGGGGAGCCGGAGGGAAACCGAGUCUUAAUUGGGCGUUAAGUUGCAGGGUAUAGACCCGAAACCCGGUGAUCUAGCCAUGGGCAGGUUGAAGGUUGGGUAACACUAACUGGAGGACCGAACCGACUAAUGUUGAAAAAUUAGCGGAUGACCUGUGGCUGGGGGUGAAAGGCCAAUCAAACCGGGAGAUAGCUGGUUCUCCCCGAAAGCUAUUUAGGUAGCGCCUCGUGAAUUCAUCUCCGGGGGUAGAGCACUGUUUCGGCUAGGGGGCCAUCCCGGCUUACCAACCCGAUGCAAACUGCGAAUACCGGAGAAUGUUAUCACGGGAGACACACGGCGGGUGCUAACGUCCGUCGUGAAGAGGGAAACAACCCAGACCGCCAGCUAAGGUCCCAAAGUCAUGGUUAAGUGGGAAACGAUGUGGGAAGGCCCAGACAGCCAGGAUGUUGGCUUAGAAGCAGCCAUCAUUUAAAGAAAGCGUAAUAGCUCACUGGUCGAGUCGGCCUGCGCGGAAGAUGUAACGGGGCUAAACCAUGCACCGAAGCUGCGGCAGCGAACGUAUCACCCAAGACAACUUUACGGAGUUGACGAUUGACGGAGCGAAGCGACGUCAAAGCGUUCAUUAAAGUCGAGUUGGCUUAGGGAUACGUUCGUUGGGUAGGGGAGCGUUCUGUAAGCCUGUGAAGGUGUGUCGUGAGGCAUGCUGGAGGUAUCAGAAGUGCGAAUGCUGACAUAAGUAACGAUAAAGCGGGUGAAAAGCCCGCUCGCCGGAAGACCAAGGGUUCCUGUCCAACGUUAAUCGGGGCAGGGUGAGUCGACCCCUAAGGCGAGGCCGAAAGGCGUAGUCGAUGGGAAACGGGUUAAUAUUCCCGUACUUGGUGUUACUGCGAAGGGGGGACGGAGAAGGCUAUGUUGGCCGGGCGACGGUUGUCCCGGUUUAAGCGUGUAGGUGUGUGUUCCAGGUAAAUCCGGUU
rnacentral:rRNA from 1 species